AAUCACUUGUCUCNUAAAUGAGGACNUGUAUGAAUGGCACGACGAGGGCUUAACUGUCUCCUUUCCCCGGUCANNGAAAUUGAUCUUCCCGUGCAGAAGCGGGAAUCCUAACAUAAGACGAGAAGACCCUAUGGAGCUUUAGACUUCAGAACAGAUCAUGUAAGCUACCCCCGUGAAAUAGGUAAUAACUAUUGAAUUUCUGUUCCCCUGUCUUUGGUUGGGGCGACCACGGGGAAGAAAAAAACCCCCAUGUGGACCAGGAGCACAUUACUCCUACAACCAUGAGCCACAGCUCUAAUGCACAAAAUUUUUGACCAUUAGNAUCCGGCAAAGCCGAUCAACGGACCAAGUUACCCUAGGGAUAACAGCGCAAUCCCCUUUAAGAGUCCA
rnacentral:rRNA from 1 species